rnacentral:rRNA from 1 species
UACGGGGGGGGGCAAGCGUUGUUCGGAAUUACUGGGCGUAAAGGGCGCGUAGGCGGCCUGCUAAGUCGGACGUGAAAUCCCUCGGCUCAACCGGGGAACUGCGUCCGAUACUGGUGGGCUCGAAUCCGGGAGAGGGAUGUGGAAUUCCAGGUGUAGCGGUGAAAUGCGUAGAUAUCUGGAGGAACACCGGUGGCGAAGGCGGCAUCCUGGACCGGUAUUGACGCUGAGACGCGAAAGCGUGGGGAGCGAACAGG